AAAAAUUUAGUUAAAUUAUAACAUUAGUUUGUCAAACUAAAAUUAUUAAAAAAAUAAUUUUUU
rnacentral:tRNA from 1 species